CAGGACGGUUCUCGUAAUUCUUCUGUGAACUGCUCCUGCCAAAGGAGAAAUGAGCUCACUCUGGCCUUACACAGCAGAGCUCAACAGAGGGAUUCCUUCUAUCACCUUGGGAAGAAUAUUCCAUUGUGGCAUCAUGGUUACCAUGGUGUUGCCAAGCAAACGUCUGGACAUGGGGACUUAGGAGGAGCCAGGAUGAAAAGCUUGCCUGUUCCCUAAACUUGGCAGGGCUAUUCUGGAAGCCUGGCUCUCCCCCUGUCUGGCUGAGAAGACAUUCCUCUCACUAGAUCAUAAAGUCCUGUCCCGUUGUGGCCGUGGUCCGUCUACCCCUCAGCACCUGCCCUGUGUCUACACGAAUUUGUCAGACUGGACAGAAGAAGCCCACAGCCAGGCCCCUCGACUUGCAGGUCCAAGCGAAGCUACCAGACCAGCUCUUCCAAACCGUACGCCAGAUGGGACCUGCACUCCAGCCACUGCGAGCAGCUUUGCUUUCAGCACAAAUGCCAGGACUCGAGAAAAGUGUUCACAACGUCAUGGUAAGACGUAUCUCCAUGGAACCAGAGGGCUCGCAGUCUGCGGGCUCAGGCGCAUAAAAAAUAUUUAUUGGACAGGAGAAUGGCUGAUGGAGGGCAGGACAGCUGGAUGGAAAGUGAGACCUGACUCAGGAGGGAGCUGCUAUCUCCUUCCGCUCUCAGUUCCCCUGACGUCCUGCGUGCCUCACAUCCUCCAUCACCUCCAACACUGAGCAGGGCGUGGCUUCUGCUGGGAGAACGGAAUGGGAAAGAUUUUUGGCAGUGGGAGAAAUGGGAGUUGAUGCUUCAAUUUGUUCCACGUCGCAGGCCUCAAAGAGCUUUCACAUACCUGUUCUCAUUCACGAUUCGCAAUCACACAGCCAGGAUGAAGGAACUACCUGAGAGAUCCAGAUGGAAAUGUGGUGGCUCAGAGUGGGAAAGUCACUUCCCUAAAGCCACACACCUCGAAAGCGGCAGGGGCAGGACUCCAACACAGAUCCUUCCAACUCCAGGGUGGUGAACCAUCUCCAAGUGUGCGUUUCUCAGCCUGGACCUCACACUGCCUUUAUAGGGGGUGGAAGCAGAAAUGAUGACUGGCGCAAGGCCACGGGGCUGCUCGUGAAGAGUGGGGAUGCUGAGGUUAGUGCACAAGACCCCAGCUCUCUC
rnacentral:lncRNA from 1 species